GAACAACACAGGAGAAAUAUUCUCUUCCAAGAGCUAAGCAACAAAAGUUGUGUCAUGUUUUGUCUAAUAAUUGAGAGAGAGAGAGAGAGAGAGAGAGAGAGAGAGAGAGAGAGAGAGAGAGAGAGAGAGAGAGAGUGUGGAAAACCAAAGCAUAGUGGAGGCAGAAGCAGAAGCAGAAGCAGAAGCAUGUGGUGGGCAGCUCAUGAGCUGGUAAAGAGAAAAAGAGAGAAAUGGAAAAUAAAAAAAAGUAACACACAAAAGCAUAGACGUUCGGGGAACAAACGGAUUUUGUAGUGUCCCGAGGGAUCUUCUCCUCCUUCCCUACAACCCAUCAUUAUUCUUCCCUCUCUCUCUAUCUCUCUCUCUGCCUGUUACACUGUUAAACCUUUAAUUUGAUCAUUAAAAAAUAUUACUAUCUAUCAUGCAUGUUGGUCUUUACUAGAUUGAGAUCAGAUAUUAUUAAUUCUAUCAGCAGCAGGUGUAAGACUAUUGACUACUGAGCAGCAGAAUUAAAGUAAUCUGGGAAACCAAUAUAUACAUAGGUAUAGCAUGUUAGGGUGAUUUAGAUAGAUCCUACAACUUGAGUUUUAUUUAUUUAUUAACACCCUAUAUUAUGUAGGUUUCUAAAGGGAAUGUGCAACUUAAACUAAUUAGCCAAAUUUGAACCCACUCAGCCCACCCAAUGGUUAUCCAAAACUGAACAUUAUCUUAAUUAAUUUGGUAGUGUUUGUUAAUAGUUUGAAUUAUGAUGAUGAUGAUGAGGGUGGUGGUGGUAGCUGGACCUCAUGGACAAUUGGAGGGCCACUCAUAUAGGUCAAUUGUAUAGAUAUAUAUAUAUAUAUAUAUAUAUAUAUGACUGGAAGGAAAGAGGAGAGUGGGUUUGAUUUGAGUAGUCAAAGUAGGGGGAGAGACGUGGAGGGUGAGGGUGGGGCCUACACAGGCAUUGUCACUGAGCAGUGAUGAGGCAGUGACCACCACCACCACCACCACCAUCGGACAACACAAGAGAUUCCAAUUUGGAAAAACAUGAAAGAAACCCAACGCGCACGUUAAAAAGUCAAGAAAAGGAAAGCCUCCCUCCCUCCCUCCUCUAAUUUCAAUUUUCAUAAAUUUCUAAUAAUGUAGUGAGGAGAGAAAGCAUUAGAAGAGAAAGAGAUUGGGGAUUACGGGGACCAUCUCUGAUCCAAGCCAACCCAACUGUACCCAUCACCAUUGCCAAUUUGCCAUGCACCAUGAGUCCAUGACCAUGUCCAGACAAACAUCUCACUCCCCUUCCAUUUUCUUUUCCCUUUGGUCAAGCCAUUUAUAUACAUGAGCACUUAGUGUACCCCGAACAUAUAAAAAUUUAUCCCCAUACCAUAGAUGGAAUCUUAUGAUGUGUGGCACUGGCAGGAGGAAGAAUGCGAAUGGAGGCUUUCUAGAACGACGUAUUCCAUUUGGUGACUUAUCCAUCAUGCAUGCAUGUACCUGCUGUAAUGAAAAUGUGAGGAAACGAAGAGGCAGGCAAAGUUAUAACAAAGUCGGCAUAUUCUUUGGCUGACCGAAUCACAAUCGCAAUUCCAAUAUUCCAGUAAUUAAAUUAGUGAUUAAAAAAAAAAAAAA